UUCACACCAAUUUCAGUGGCGUGGCUUAAAGGUCAAGCAAAGUAGAAAUGGCAUUUACUUGGAAGACCCAAUUUAGUAUCACUGCCUGAAGGUAUUCGCCGCCUCACCUCUUUAAGUGUUUUGAGAAUUGUGGAGUGUCGUCACUUGGAGAAAAGAUGUGAACAAGGAACAAGAGAGGAUUGGCCAAAGAUUGCUCACGUCCCAAACUUUUCAAAUAAUACGUUUUGGGGGAACCAUCUGUAGCAUGGAACAAAAAAAGGAUUUAAGAAUACACACAUUUUCAGACCUUGCCGACAAUCAGAUUUGAACAAAGCAGCAAUUCAUGAAAUUGGUUAUGGGAAUCAGGUGGAGAUUUCUACAAUCAGUUUGGAUAUGACAAUCUCACUUCUUCCAAGUGACUAAUUUUGACUGGUUAUACCCACUUAUGUCUAAGAAGGAAUAGACAAACAAGAGACUUGUAAUAACUUUCUCUCUUUUUUCUGAUAGUGGAAUUUAUUUCAGAAUA